ACACGACUCUCGGCAACGGAUAUCUCGGCUCUCGCAUCGAUGAAGAACGUAGCGAAAUGCGAUACCUGGUGUGAAUUGCAGAAUCCCGCGAACCAUCGAGUCUUUGAACGCAAGUUGCGCCCGAGGCCACCCGGCCGAGGGCAUGCCUGCCUGGGCGUCACGC
rnacentral:rRNA from 2 species